rnacentral:rRNA from 1 species
GACGAACGCUGGCGGCGUGCUUAACACAUGCAAGUCGAACGGUGACCCAGGGCUUGCCCUGGUGAUCAGUGGCGAACGGGUGAGUAACACGUGGGCAACCUGCCCCUGACUUCGGGAUAACUCCUCGAAAGAGGAGCUAAUACCGGAUACGACCACUUCGGACAUCCGAUGGUGGUGGAAAGUUUUUCGGUCAGGGAUGGGCCCGCGGCCUAUCAGCUAGUUGGUGGGGUAAUGGCCUACCAAGGCGACGACGGGUAGCCGGCCUGAGAGGGCGACCGGCCACACUGGGACUGAGACACGGCCCAGACUCCUACGGGUGGCAGCAGUGGGGAAUAUUGCGCAAUGGGCGAAAGCCUGACGCAGCGACGCCGCGUGAGGGAUGAAGGCCUUCGGGUUGUAAACCUCUUUCAGCAGGGACGAAGCGAAAGUGACGGUACCUGCAGAAGAAGCACCGGCUAACUACGUGCCAGCAGCCGCGGUAAU